CACUGUCGCCAGGGGAGCCCUGCAUAAAAGGGCUGAGAUGCGGCUACGCAGACCCUGGAACCUGAUCCGGUUCGUACCGGCGGAGGAAGUGCGA
rnacentral:ncRNA from 1 species